UACGUAGGCAGCGAGCGUUGUUCGGAGUUACUGGGCGUAAAGGGUGUGUAGGCGGUUGUUUAAGUUUGGUGUGAAAUCUCCCGGCUCAACUGGGAGGGUGCGCCGAAUACUGAAUGACUUGGAGUGCGGGAGAGGAGAGUGGAAUUCCUGGUGUAGCGGUGAAAUGCGUAGAUAUCGUAAGGAAGACCAGUGGCGAAGGCGGGUCUCUGGACAGUUCCUGACGCUGAGGCACGAAGGCCAGGGGAGCAAACGGG
rnacentral:rRNA from 1 species